rnacentral:lncRNA from 1 species
CUAAAAGCUUGUCAGCUGCUUGGCCGCACGCAAUUAUGUAUCCGGUAUCUGUUUAUUUUUUAUAAGCUCCUAGACAGAUGAAAUCUUGUACGUGUUUUCCUAAAGAUCCGACGACCUUGAAAGAAUGCAUUUUGGCUUUUAUCUAGACUUUCUCUCAUUACAUGUUUAUAGCCUGGUAUCCCGGCCCGAUAUCUAGCUGCGCGUCGUAAGGACAAGAUUAG